rnacentral:lncRNA from 1 species
GCCACCCUAUCCCAGCCAUAUUAUUCAGCAACAAUGUAGGGAUGAGCAUGACAGUACAGGUGAGCAUGAAGGAUGGACAAUCUUCGGGGAUUUUAGAUUGGGAACACAACAAAACACUAACACUCAGGGAUUUGGGAAUAGUUAGACGCCUGCUAAUAUCGAUGAUUCGUUUUUAGAUCGAAUCAACGAAUUGUUAAACGAAUUCAAUCAAUGGCACCAGCGUGACCAAGAAUAACGUCG